GAUGAACGUUGGCGGUGUGCCUAAUACAUGCAAGUCGAACGGAGUUAAUAGCAAUAUUGACUUAGUGGCGAACGGGUGAGUAACGCGUUGGUGAUCUGCCUUGAAGUGUGGAAUAACAGAUCGAAAGAGCUGCUAAUACCGCAUAAUAUCCAGAAGAUUAGACGCUUUUGGAUUAAAGGAUUUAUUCGCUUCGGGAGGGCCUGCGUCCCAUCAGCUAGUUGGUGAGGUAACAGCUCACCAAGGCGACGACGGGUAGCCGGCCUGAGAGGGUGACCGGCCACACUGGGACUGAGACACGGCCCAGACUCCUACGGGGGGCAGCAGUGGGGAUCUGCACAAUGGGCGAAAGCCUGAUGCAGCGACGCCGCGUGA
rnacentral:rRNA from 1 species